UCCUCAUAUUUUCUCCCUCGCAGCCUUCCGCAGCAAGGAAAGGAAUCUGAGCCUUCCAAUCAAAGUUUGUUAUGUUGGCCCUCUACUCCUACUUUUAUAUCCCUGUUUCUGUUUUUCCAUAGAACUGGUGCUGUAGAACCUUCGGUCAACAGUCGAAUCUGCAGCUGUCACUUUCCCAAUGGCGAUAAGACCAACCUACCCACCCUUGUUGAACCUUUCAUGCCCUGUAAUACUUCAAGGCAAACCGAACAGAAUAUUUUCCCCUCCUAGACCCAGUAAAAUCCCGAUUCCUGUGUUCAGAAACAGCCCUAGUCCAAGGAUUCCUUCAAAGAAAUCUAAAAGAAGCCCUUUGUCCUCCAUUGCCAUUCCUAUAAAGAAUGCAAGGUAUCUAUCUCUUCCUUUUCCCUUUUACCUUGCCUUUCUCAAGAACCUACACUGUAACUGUGAUCAAAUCCUUAACUUAGCACUGAAUCUGGAUUUAACAUGCCAAAGGAUGAAAUGUCUCGAUGCGCUGCAAAAACUCUACAUUUGUACACAACGAUUGAUACCUAAAAAUGGUUCGGCUACACAGUGUAUUGAUGACAAUGCCUCCCAAUUCGAUCUAAGUGAUGUGUGGCCUUCAUCAGUGUUAUGCCCAUGUGUGAACCAUCUGGGCUCCAAUCUCAGUAUCUCGGUUUGCGACGUUGCACACUUACUGUAAUACUUUCUUUCUUUACUGGAGAACUACUCCACGUCAAUUCUUACCUAAAGCUUUAAAUCUCAAACUUUAUGGGUGAAAAUUUAUACAGAAUAUUCUACUGACAGGGAAAAAAAAUCAAGGAAGUUUUCAAGAAAUUUCGUUGACUAGUUUUCCAUGGAAAAAUGAAGUACGACUGGAGGUCUACGAAGUCAAAAUCAGAGGCACUGGUUCUCGCACUUCAGCCAUUGAAAUGUUGAUCAAAUUUUAUGGAAUAAUGUUGAUUUGCUCUUUUAUAAAAAAGUAUAUUAAGUGCAGAUAUUUUUAAACAUCACAAACAAUGAUACGUUGUUUGGGAGUGUCACUGUCUACAUGCAUUAUUAAGCUACUUUCCACGGAGAACGCAAAGUUUCAGUAAGUAAUGAAUCGUGAGAAAAAUUUGAGAAUUCCACAAGCCCUGGGUACCUAGUGAAAGUGACUUUAAAACGACUGUAGGAAACUUGAUAAUUUUAUGCAUGUAAAUCGAACUCUUCAAAAUUAUAUCCAUCCUGGCAGGAAAAGAGACCAUUUUAACGCACACUUAAGUAAUGGAGAAAAAAAGCAUCAAUUCCUUCAUUUAUAUUAAUAUUUUGUAUGAUUCUCAUAUUCUCCAACAACUUCUGAAGUGCUCGGAAAAUGGAAUUAAAAUGGUUUCUCGUUUCCUGCAUUAAAAAGUUCUUUUCUUAGUUUCAAAAUUCACAAAUUUUUUAAAGUUUCUUUAAGCGCAACUGUCAAGUAAUUAUAAAUAAUUAUGUUAAGAACAAUAAAGUGUUUUAAGAACAUUGUAGAAACAUUACUAACUCGCCAAGUUGGAGCAAAAGGGUCCAGGAAAAUUCAGGAUAAUUAAGUGUCCAAAUUAUAAUUUAUUCAAAAUUUUUUUUCCUCACAUAAAGCUUCUAUCACAGAACACAGACUUACAUUAUUUAAUUGACUGAAUGAUAUUAAAAUAAUUAAAAUCCUCUACCACUUUUAUCCUUGAGAGUAUCUUGAUUGUCCUAAAAAGAAACGAAAAAGUAAAAGUUAGUUUUCCACGAAUUUUGAGCAAUUUAGAAAUAUGGAAGCAUAGCACACUGAGACAAUCGAUAGAGAAAAAUUAGUUUGCAAUGUAAUACAAGUUUUUCUCCCGGAUUUUCAGGACACCUCAAGAAGGAACCAAACGUAAAGUUUCCUCUAUUCGCAUUCUUUUCAAUAAUGAUCAAAAAGAGAACACCAACCCGAACGCGCUUCCUUUAGCUGAACCUCUUGAUUCACCUCUACUCCCUCCAGCCAUUAAUGAUGAAAUCCGCCAAAGCUCCUCUCAAACUGCUCAACAUCUGAAAAUAUCCAAUGCCUCCACCAAUCCACAGUUACUUUCAUCUGCACGCUCUCCCAUUCCUGUCAUUCCUUCCCCCUCUUCUUGUCUUUGUAAUUCUUCUUCUGAGACGCAAAACAAUGUAGAGAAUACAAUUGAAAAUAUUUCCACGCGCAUGGCUGGUUUAAAAGUGAACAAAGGUAGUCAAACUGAUAUCCCUGAUCAAAUGUAUCAAUUACAAGAAGAAAAUGAAAAGUUGCGAAAGCAAAUGGAAAACCAAAAAUUUCGGUUUGGAGUUGGCAACAUAAAAAGUAAUGAUAAGUGGAUUAAGUACUACACAUCGAUGCACGACUCUAAAAUGCUAGACAUUUUCCUAAAAUUGUUUGAUGAUGUGAAAGUUAAUUAUUAUUAUGGAUGGACGGUAAAAGUAAUUAAUAGGCAUGACCAAAUCCUGAUGACACUGAUGAAAUUGAGACUAAACUUGGGCGAAAUAGACCUGGCACGCCAGUUUAAUGUUGGUCAGUCUACAGUAUCAAACAUAGUGAUCACAUGGAUCCACGUUUUCUAUGAAGUUUGUGUGAAGAUUUAAUGAGAGAUAUUCCUUCCAUAGAAAAAAUCAAAAAAUGUAUGCCCUCGUGCUUCCAGCACUUCCCCAAUUGCAGAAUAAUCCUUGAUUGCACGGAAGUUUUCAUUGACACUCCAAAGAAAUUGUCACAACAAAAUAAAACAUACAGCCAUUAUAAACAUAACAAUACUUUUAAAGGUCUAGUAGGUUCUGCACCGAAUGGAGUAAUUAUUUAUGCAAGUUCAUUAUACCCGGGGUCAACCUCUGAUAAGGAAAUUGUCAGACACUGUGGUAUCUUAGAAAAGCUGAAACCUGGGGAUUUGAUUUUGGCAGAUAAGGGAUUCCUGCUCCACGACAUCUUGCCAGCAGGGGUGACGUGCAAUAUUCCACCAUUUGCAUCUUCUGCUCAAUUCACACGUAGUCAGGUGGAAAUUGGAAAGAAAAUUGCACGGGCUCGCGUGCAUGUUGAGAGAGCUAUUUAAGAGUGAAAUACUUUAGAAUAUUAAAAAAUGUUCCACAAUCUCUUUUCUUCUAUGCUUCCAAAAUUUGGCAUGUUAGUGUAGCUCUUACUAACUUUAGAUUCCCUCUGAUUAAAGAGCUAGAUGGAGCGUAUGCUCUCAUUGACAGUGAGGAAUAAAAAUUACCUAGAAUUCUGAAGAUGUUUUCCUGACAUGUAAAAUUUGAUUGCAAAACCUUGGGUUGAGAACCUGAAAACACGAUUGCAAUUAAAAAUUAAUUUUUGUAGAUUUAUUACCUAUGUAACUUUACUUAGGUACACCUAUUUAUUCAAUUAUAUUAAAUAUAAUACUCUCAUAAGUACCUUAUGAUCAGUUUUUUAGUACCCGAAUUGCUUUACAUCGACAAACCUUGCCUGCAUGCACUCUGCAGUGAUUAUAUGAUGGUAAAUUUCACUUUUAAAGUUAGAUAUUCCUCAUCAUUGAAUAAUCUGAUGCCUUUUAUCAG
rnacentral:lncRNA from 1 species